rnacentral:lncRNA from 1 species
UUUCUGUCGUCUUAGGUGUUCUUGAGCCUCAAGAACACUGUCAGACCAGUCUCAAGGGUGCACGUUUGACCGGCUAUGAUUCUCAGUGUAAUCAGGAUCUUGGCUAGCUUGAACUGUGAUCGUGUAGUGCUUAUGUAACACUACAACAUACAACUAUCAUCUUGAUCAUACAACAAAUACACAAGGAGAUCCGGGCUUGCAAAUAUGCUGUCAGAGCAUUCCUGGGUUUUCUAGAAACCCAGGUAGUCGACCAGUCACUUUUAUGGUCCAUUUAAUCUAGGUUUCAGUCAUACUUUAUGUCGUUUAAUGGUUCAAAUCUAUAGUAUAUACGACAAGGAACAUUGCUAUAACAAAAAAUCAAUUUAACAACAACAGAUCCACAAGAUAUGACUCGGUCAAACCCUGUCAAAGGGUUGUUCAUCCGGUUUUUUGGAAAUUCCAGAAAAUAGCUAUCAUGGUCGAGUAGGAUACUUUGACCACUUGCUACAUUCGAUCUGUUGAUAGAUUACACGAUCUAAGGCCACAAAUAUAAAGUACACAUGUUAGACUACCAACUGAUUACAACAACAUCAACAAAUAACGUAAACACUGAUAGAUCAAGGCGUUAUAAAAACUUGUCAGGCGCUAGUUUAACAUUUCUGGGUUACCCAGAUUGUACUCGGUCAUGGUCGGUCAACCGACUUUGACCGAUUAUAACUUGAAAUCUAGAUGUUCAAGGACUGAGAUUCCAGUUCCAGAAUAAAUUACUCAUGGCAUACUACAACUUCAAAACAUAAAACACCAAAGAUCAUUAAAAGAGAAUGAUAUGUGGCUUCUGACAUUGGUUGUCAGACCACCUUUAUAGCUCAAGAACAGUUUUGAAAAAUCAUCUAUUUAAAGCAUUUUGAUGUUAUGAAUCCAUGAUGGAUCAACAUAGAUCGACUAAAAACAACUUCUAACACAAAUAUAAACACAUAAUCACAAAAAUUUUCUUAGCAUACAAGAUCAAAAUAGGUUAGGGCUUUUAUACCUUCUUGAUUCCGAUCUUUGAUCUAUGCUUUCCUAACUGUUUUUGGUGUUCUAGUAACUGAUUAUAUGACUGAGAGACUUUAAGAAAUCGGAGGUUUGAAGAGAGAAAGAGUUGUUGAGAGAUAAAGUGCAAAAUAAGAAAUGUGUAUACUUUCUCUCUCUCUCUCUCAAUCCUUUACAAUCUCUUGAAUGCAAUAAAAAAUCUGAUAUAGCUGUCAUAUAGGGGCUGAAAUGCUGAGAUUUUUAGUCACAAGUUAAAGCAUUAGGUUACCAACUAAAGCUUUUGCCAAUUUUACAAGUCAACUUAUUAAUAAUGUAAAAAAG